UACGGAGGGGGCAAGCGUUGUUCGGAAUUACUGGGCGUAAAGGGCACGUAGGCGGCCCGUUUAGUCAGAGGUGAAAUCCCCGAGCUCAACUUGGGAAUUGCCUUUGAUACUAGCGGGCUUGAGUCCGGGAGAGGAUAGUGGAAUUCCCAGUGUAGAGGUGAAAUUCGUAGAUAUUGGGAAGAACACCAGUGGCGAAGGCGGCUAUCUGGACCGGUACUGACGCUGAGGUGCGAAAGCGUGGGGAGCAAAC
rnacentral:rRNA from 1 species